GGGGUUGUGGUCUAGUGGUAUGACAUCUUCUUAGCAUUGCUUACUUGUAAGCGAUUCUGAGUUGGAGAAGGUUCUGGGUUCGAUUCCCAGCUACUCCA
rnacentral:tRNA from 1 species